rnacentral:rRNA from 1 species
AACCUGUUUCUUAAUCGACAAUCCACGUUAAUUUUCACUUAAAUUAAAAAUUUAUAUACCGCCAUCUAAAAAACUAAUUUUAUGAUAAUAUUUUCAAUAAAAAAUAAAAAGUUAGGUCAAGGUGUAAUCAACAUUUAAGUUGAAUAUGGGUUACUUUAAAAAUAAUUUAAGGAUUUUUAUAUAAAAAUAUUUAUUUAAAAAGGAUUUAAAAGUAUUAUUAAAAUAAUAUUUUAAUAUGAUUAAGAUAAUAAAUGUGU